rnacentral:rRNA from 1 species
GUGUCAGCCGCCGCGGUAAUACGGGGGGUGCAAGCGUUACUCGGAAUCACUGGGCGUAAAGAGCAUGUAGGCGGAUAGAUAAGUUGGAAGUGAAAUCCUAUGGCUUAACCAUAGAACUGCUUCCAAAACUGUCUAUCUAGAAUAUGGGAGAGGUAGAUGGAAUUUCUGGUGUAGGGGUAAAAUCCGUAGAGAACAGAAGGAAUACCGAUUGCGAAGGCGAUCUACUGGAACAUUAUUGACGCUCAGAUGCGAAAGCGUGGGGAGCAAACAGGAUUAGAUACCCUGGUAGUCCACGCCCUAAACGAUGCACACUAGUUGUUGCCUUGCUAGACAAGGCAGUAAUGCAGUUAACACAGUAAGUGUGCCGCCUGGGGAGUACGGUCGCAAGAUUAAAACUCAAAGGAAUAGACGGGGACCCGCACAAGCGGUGGAGCAUGUGGUUUAAUUCGACGAUACGCGAAGAACCUUACCUGGCCUUGACAUAGAAAGAACUUACUAGAGAUAGUUUGGUGCUAGCUUGCUAGAACUUUCAUACAGGUGCUGCACGGCUGUCGUCAGCUCGUGUCGUGAGAUGUUGGGUUAAGUCCCSCAACGAGCGCAACCCUCGUGUUUAGUUACUAACAGUUCGGCUGAGGACUCUAGACAGACUGCCUACGCAAGUAGGAGGAAGGUGAGGACGACGUUAAGUCAUCAUGGCCCUUACGGCCAGGGCUACACACGUGCUACAAUGGGGCAUACAAAGAGCCGCAAUACGGUGACGUGGAGCAAAUCUCAUAAAAUGCCUCCCAGUUCGGAUUGUAGUCUGCAACUCGACUACAUGAAGUUGGAAUCGCUAGUAAUCGUAGAUCAGCUAUGCUACGGUGAAUACGUUCCCGGGUCUUGCACUCACCGCCCGUC